AAAAUGAGGUUGAAAUUAUCAUUUUGACUAAUAUUAACCAACAAAUAUGGACUUUAAAAUACUUUUGAAAAAACGGAUUAGUUUUGAAUAGUGAUUUUUUUGGAAAAUGUAUUAUUAAAAAAUAGGAAAAAAUUUUAGAUUUACAUGUAAAAUAUUUAAUUGUACAAAUGUGUGAUUGAAAAUAAGUAUGAGAAUUAAAGAGUUUUUAAAUAAUGAUUGUCAAACAAGGCUUUUCACACACAAAACAUGGGAUAUCUAGGUUAGAAUUUAUGCUAGCUGCAACUAAAGCCACAAUAAAUAUAUGCUUUAAAUGUAAAUAGAAAAUUAUACCUUACAGUAUUUGCUUAAAAAUGUGGCUCCAUAACAUCGUGGUCUAGAACCUCAUAUCUGGUCCGGCCGUGUUCCACCAAGAAGAUAAAUUAGCAAUACUGGAGGUGUGUCCUCUUCCUGUUGGAAUGGUUUUAUUGCCAAUACCAAUGGAAGCUGCAAGGUGUUGAUUUCAAUGCAAUACCUUGGCAAAUAAGUAGUCCUUGCUCGUUAUACCUUAAAUUCAUUAUCUGUUCGACCUUAAAAGUUUGAAUAUCUAUAUACAUACAUGCACUGUAUUUCAUUUAUAGAAAUGUCUUUCCAAGAAUAUGUAAAUGUUUAUUUUCAUGGACAUUUUUCUUGUUUCCUAUCAAUGCAUAUCAAUUUAUGUGCGCACAUCUUUUAGGUGGUAAAUUACACAGCAAAUGUACAAACAAAAAUGCACCCCAGAAAAAUGAUUUUUUAAUCUGAAAAGUAUUUAUUACAUCUCGAAAUUCGGGAAAUUAAUUUUCAUGGUCCCUCUCGAAAACAAGCUACAAGGUAAUUUACAUAUCAGUCCUACACCAUGCCCUCCUUCAAAUACUGAGAUCCCAAUUCACCUCUUGUUGCAAGAUCCCGUGUUAAUUAGAAAAUGCAUUUUCUGAACUACUUUAAAAAUCUUGAAUUUCUUGUUCUAAGCUUGAACAUAAACUACUUGCAGCAGAGUUUAACUUUUGAGAAAAGUAAAAACUUUUAAUUUGUUGAAUACUAAUUGAUAGAGCUUAACAGCAUCAAGGUCAAUUUUUAUAGACUUCUCAUGUUCUCCUUUAUUCUUGUCUUUUGUUACUAUUAUCACCACUUAAAACUGCUUCUAUUUGUGUUUGAUUUCGGCUUUAGUUUAUACUUCACCUAUGGACACUGCAAAUAUUCAUAAGAGACUUAAUUUCCAUAAGGAAAAUCAACCCACUGAGAACUAUGUAAAUUUCAAUUAGUCAUACAGAGUUGAAGGUCUUGCUUGGGAAGAUUAUGAACACAUCAAAUUCUACCAAACCAAGUUCACAAAAAAAAAA
rnacentral:lncRNA from 1 species